rnacentral:lncRNA from 1 species
CUGUGCUGUUCGUGACAGGAAUGGAAACCCAGAUCCUCUCGUGGUGGGCGACAGUGACUUUGGGAAAUGGAAAUUUGGGAGGAGGUGGGGUCUGUCACAAAAGCCUUUCCAAUGGGUCACUAGGGUGCUUUAUUCCAUGACUUUUUCAUUCCAAAGUCAUAGAUUUAGGACUGAGGCAGAAGUUGAGGCUAAUGCCUCUUCCCCCAAUACAGUGCUCAUUAGCUUAUCUCCAGGGCUCUUAAUAAGCCAGGCAGGGCUGGGCCUCUUGGUGAGGUAUACUGGAGGCUAAUGGCCUGGGUUUAUAUCCAGUCGCUCACAGGGCAUCUCUAGACAACAUUUUGGCUUCUGAAAUAUGAGCUCUAUUCAUUGAGUAACUGACACUUUUCUUUCUAAACAGUUGCAAUGAUACAAACUCCCCGCAUUUUACUUUGUUAAAAGGUGGCUUGUGAAGUGCUCCCUCAACUCUUGACCCAAUAUUCUGUUGAUUUAAUAAGCAAAUCAAAAGCAGAGUCAUUCUAAUAAGGAUAAGAUUUUAGGCAAGUCUUUUUAGGGUGUUUAUUUUUCUUGGAGAGCAUUUCCUUGAUUCAUUGAAUUUCUUUGGCCCUACAGAGGAGCGCCAGGAAGGCGGAGGCAGAAGUAUAUUUCAUCUCAAACUGACAGGCCUUCAAAGACAUUCUUUAUGGCAACUAGCUCACAAAAUUCCUGAAAAUUUAGAAUGGGCUUUUGUGAGCUGACCGGAGCAGCCGCCAGCACCCCGCUGGCAGGAGAGGGACAGGCUGCUGUGCUUUGUUUCAGAGUCUGCCCAAGGCACUGGGCCCAGGAGACCAGGUCAGCAGCCAUCUAGGUAGGAAGAUGCUGGCCUCCCUGGAGGGGUGGGGCUUCAGAUCCCUGACAGUCCCAGCCCUAGGACGGUGUCGGAAAGUCACAUGCUGCUCACGAGGUCUGCGCUGCCCCUCCUGACCUCCGGAAGCAGCACCCUUUGUGCGCCUGGUGAACCCAUCUUUCCAGACAACUCCAGCGUCCCCUCCCCUGGGAAGCCUUCAGGGAUGAAGCCCCCAGGCAGUCACCCACUCCCUCCUCAUUUCUCCCAUAGCGUUUGCUGUCCUUUGCUACACCGUUUAUUCUCUUGUCUAUGUUCUCAGUGGGACUGUGGGCUCUUUGAGCGAAAGAAGCUUUUUUUGUCGGUACUGGGUGCACAAUAGGUCUCAAUAAAUCUUAGACCCCAUGUCACCUUGUUUAGUGAUUCUCAAACAUAAGUGCAUAAGAAUUACCUGAAAAAUGGAUUAAAACGCAGAUCCCAGACUCUAGACCCAUGGCUUUGCAAUCUGGGUCUUUAAUAAGAUUGUGUGACUCUGAUGCACAUAUGUUCACAAACUACACUUUAAGAAAUACAGAUUGUUCAAACUUUUCAUUUUAUUGGUGAGGAGCCAGAGGGCUAGAGAUGAAACGUCCUGCGUCAGGACCCUUAGAGUACUUAGAGUAAUGGAAGAUCACGGUGGUUUGAGAUAGAACCGCCUCAAAUUCUCGUUAAGUGAACUAAGCCAGUCACAGCCAUACUGCUGAUUGCUGUUAGGAAUAUUUAAAAAUAUCUUGAGCUAAAAUCAUUGCACACCGCCUCGUAAAGCAAUGACAAGACUCUCCAUAUUUAGAUGCCUCGACUAAAAGGGUAUGAAUCUAGAUAUCAGAAGUUACCCCUGGCCUAUUACUAGGAGUGUCUCCUUAGAAUUUGAAGUGUUUUCUCACUGAUGUCAGAACAAGGCCCUCGAUGAUUUUUGCCUCUAAAUUGUAAUUAGCCUCAAUGGCUGUCACAAGAGCCGUUUGCCACAAGCUCUAUUUCCAGCAGAGUGUCCUCCGCCCGCCUCCUGAUGCUCACAGUUCGCGGCGGCAGACACAGGGCCCCAAACUAGACCCAGUGUUCAGGUGUCUGGUUCAUGCCUAUUUUUAUGAGCAAAUCUGUGUUUCAUCUGUCAGUUGUUUGGCGAGUGCCAUGCAUGCUGGUUACUGCCUUGGGCAGAGGUGCCACCUAGAGGGCCCUGUGACUACCACCGUGGCUUGGCAGGAGCUGGGCCGCCGAGGCCCUGAGGAAGCCCUGCAGCCACCCACUGAGGGUCACAGCAGCUCCUAAGCAGCCCUGGCACCAUUUAGAGGAGAGGGUUGCCAGGGGAACCCGGGAAGGACAGAGGGAUAGCUGGCUGGUUCUAAGCAUUCAGCUUCCUUUCUCCAUGUGAUUCUGAUAGGAACUGGUCUGGAACUCUGUUUCUCGGCCACAAGGUGUCAGCAGUGGGCUGGCCAGGUGCCGGCUCCCAGCGCAGCCCUGAGGAACGCCCUGGCGCACAGAGAAGGUGUCGCUGGCUGCCCUUUGAAAUUUUUUGUUUGGAGAAGUUGCCUUUGUUAUUAGUAGGGGCAUGAUUAUUAAGUUACCAAAAGGCCACCCCUCCUCGGUCUUGCCUGUGGAUAAGCCACAAGCCUCUAUGUGCCUUCAGAUGAAUAAAAUAGCCGCUGCAGGGCAUCUCGACCAAGCCCGAUGGUGGCUUGAAGAGGUCAACGCAGGUGGGGACAGGGGGAUAACGCUGCAGAAAGCCAUGAUGUACGGAGUGUGGAGACAGAAGAAUACAGGACAGUUAUUUUUUUAAAAAAAAUCUGGACGUCCAUUCUGGCUUGUUUGCUUGAAUUUGAAGUCUGGGUUUGCUUCUCCAUCUGUAAAAUGCCAUAGUCCCCAUUUUUCAAAUGGCAAUAGUCACAGGGUUGUUAUGUGGAUCAAAUGAGACAAAAUGAUUUGCGAACUAUGAGGUACUGUAUACACACUGGCGCGGGUCUUGGGAUUCGUUUGACCUGAGCUGUGUCACAGGGCUUCCUUCAGACGGGAUGUGAGCUCCUGAUCUGGCCUGAUAGAGUCAUCUUCCAAUGAGUUUCUUCCUGGAUGCCUUUCCGUGGCUUGUUUCCAAGCGGAAAGCUGGCAGUGGCUGUUCGGUCUUCCUUCUUCGCUGAGCCUGAUUUUCCAUACUGGAAGAAGAUGAAAUGCACAUUUCAGAAUGUAACUUUUUCCUGCAGGACACUAUCCCCUAUGGUGGAGUGAUGGAGAAAAAUAUGAGAUGAAGUCAGGGGAUAACUGAGUAACAUAGUGAUUUAUAAACUCAUGGAAUGAAAUGAAGGCGUUUUUUCCACUGGUGGGGUCAUUUAUUAUGUCCUAGCUGGCCAGAUCCGAGGGUUGAAGAGGCUUUGGUUCCUGAGCAAUAGAAAUAGCAGGAAACAAGUUUCUCCAUUGCUCCUCUUUCAAAAACAUGGAAUUCAGCUGAUGUUGAAAUAUAUCCCCGUCAUAGGCCUGACUUAAGACUCCUGUGCUCAUCACCUUUUUGGGGUCAAUGGGGACUGAAGCCUAGACCCCGUCACCUUGAGAUGAUGUCAAAGAAGAGCCGAGGCUGUCACCACUGGUCAUUGCUCUGUGGAGCUUUUCCUGUGACCCAUCUCUUGGUGGAAGUGAACUACCCUGAAAAUAUCCCAUGAAAACCUCUGAUGGGAAUUUCAUUGUAAUUUUACAAAGUUAUAUAUUAAUCUGUGCAAAAGUGACAUCUUUAAGAUAUAGAAUUUUUCCUUCCAUGAACAUGGUGUGUCUUUUCAUUUAUUCCGUUUCUCUUUUAUGUCUUUCAAUAAAAAAUUUUGUUUCUUUAUAAAGACUUUGCUCAUCUUAUAUUUGAUUCAUUCCUAGAUAAAUUAUAGCUUUUUUU